rnacentral:sRNA from 1 species
AAGGAAUUUGCGAAGCAGAGCCUUGAUAUCACUCUCAUUUGUUCAAGAGGCGUGGUCGUUUGCAUGGUGGGACUGGGGAUGGUUCACACGCUACUGCAAUCAAUUACUCAUAUUUUGUCACGGGUCCGUGGAUGCAACCUUCGUCCUGAGACUUCAUGGUGUGAAAAGCAUAAUAUUUCCCCUUUCGCUAAUGGGUGAUGUAACAGCUUUUAAUAUUUCUUUCAAGGCACUUCUGGAAUUGUCACAGGAAGUUGUCCACCUCACUCUGACAGCAUUGGACGAGUCAGGAGGCGACGUUAUUGUCGGUUUUGGGCCCCAACACAGGACAUGACCUAAAUCCCUCCCAAAGGUGUUAUUUUCUUUUGAGGGGGUGGGCUAAAAGAAUCCGGGAUCAUAGUAUCCUCUGAGCUGCAUCGCGGCCUAAAUUUGCGGAGGCCAAGCAAAACUUGGUGCCAACAAGGGCUAUGCUUCUAGAAGCCAACCCCCCUUCCCUCAGCAGGAAAUCCCCUGUUGGUCAGAAUUGCAACAAAUGUCACAAUACUGUCGAUUCCGGGAAGCGGAUCCAUUGAUUCAGCGUUCAAGCUUUUCGAUAGCCUUUUAAUAGAAGGACACAUUCCUCAUCCUUCUUUGUUUCAAAGGAUUCUUUUAACCAUUUUUGGGACCAUGGAUUCACUUUCGAGCAAUCAGGGUGAAGCAAAAAAUGCCGGUUAAAAGGACGUGUCUAAAAAGUCUCCGAAACUAACUUUUAGAGCACAACAGGGAUGGAAGCAGAAGGACGAGAUCAAUUGACCGUGUGAUAGUAAGCCACUGCUGGCACAUUUUUUGAUACUAUUUUACGCAGGAUUUUUUCUCCUCAGGCGUCAUAAACGGGAGCCUCGGUAUUGCAUGGUUUUGAUUGUUUAUUGGAUGGCAUGGACCUUAAACGAUACUCAACUUACUACCAGCCUGUUUGUCAUGGAUCACGCAUUAUCAAGAAUUUGCAAGCACAGAUGCAUCGUACCUGAAGCUAUAAAUACCCAUGUUUUUUAAGCGUCUAUCCCUGCGGUGUCAAGAGUCUCAUCUUCUCGUUCUGGAAGGCGAUCCUAACACGCUGAUUCGCUGACACAGUAGUUUCAUUUUAGAUCUAUUUUUUUUAAAGCUAUCGCGGUGCAAGAGAUCGCGGAGCGUUUCAUUACUCUUCAAACGAGCCCAUGAGCCAUGCCCCGCCGCGAAACAAGAAGAUGUAAGAAAUGCCAAGAGAUGCUUCCUAUUUUCUGCGGCAACGAUCAAUUCCCAGAUUGGGGGUGGCUUGUGCUAAAAUGAUGGCAAAAGCUGAUGAUGAGCGCAGCAUCUCAGCUCAGCUAUUUGGUUCAGUUAGUUGCCUAGACGUUUCUGCAAAGUAAAAUCCAAGUUGUCAAGAAGUGAUCAGAGAGUCA